rnacentral:rRNA from 1 species
AUUGAACGCUGGCGGCAGGCCUAACACAUGCAAGUCGAGCGGAGCGGCUGACGGGUGAGUAAUGCCUAGGAAUCUGCCUGGUAGUGGGGGAUAACGUCCGGAAACGGGCGAUAAUACCGCAUUCUAUCAGAUGAGCCGAGGUCGGAUUAACUAGUUGGUGGGGUAAAGGCCUACCAAGGCGACGAUCCGUAACUGGGCUGAGAGGCUGAUCAGUAACACUGGAACUGUGACACGGUCCAGACUCCUCCGUGAUGCAGAAGUGGGGAAUCUUGGACAAUGGGCGAAAGCCUGAUCCAGCCAUGCCGCGUGUGUGAAGAGGGUCUUCGGAUUGUAAAGCACUUUAAGUUGGGAGGCGUUACCAACAGAAUAAGCACCGGCUAACUUCGUGCCAGCAGCCGCGGUAAUAC